ensembl:misc_RNA 7SK 7SK RNA
GGAUGUGAGGGCGAUCUGGCCGCGACAUCUGUCACCCCACUGAUCGCCAGGGUGGAUUCGGCUGAUCUGGCUGGCUAGGCGGGUGUCCCCCUCCUCCCUCACAGCUCCAUGUGCGUCCCUCCUGAAGCUGCACACUCGGUGGAAGAGGACGGCCUUCCCUGAACAGAGGCGAACCAGUCUUCGGUCGAGGGUGUACAAGUAGCUGUGCUCCCCUGCUAGAACCUCCGAACAAGCCCUCAAUAAUCUGCAAUAGCUCAAUAAGUGCAGCAAGCAAGUAGAAAGACCUAGAAAAGGCAUAAUAAAGUACCUAGUCAAAUAUUUUCUUUUCUUU